rnacentral:ncRNA from 2 species
CUCUUAUUCAGAGUGAUGGAGAUACAAAGGAUCUGUGAAGUCACGGCAACCCCGCAGUGCGGAAGGUGCCAACCUGAGCGAGUAAAAUCGAACAAUAAGGG